ensembl:processed_transcript Gm15927 predicted gene 15927
GUCUAGGCUGUUAUCUGAUCCUCGUAGUUAUUCCCCAAGCGCGUUUGCUUGGUAUAUCUCUAAAACUCAGUGCUUUCUAAAGGAUGAAAGAAAGAAAGAAGGAAUCAGGAACAUUGCAGAAGCGACUGAGAAACACAAGGCGUGGGACUGACGUUUCUCUGGUUAAGUUAGCAGACUGGGACCUUCCCUGGAGUUGCAAGGACUCCAGCUGUAGAGGAAACUGCGCUUUGCCCUACCUCGGUUACAUCUGUAAUGACUACUCACUAGAGUUCUGCUAUGCUUCUUAAGGAGUAAACUUCUCCGACCACCCUUGCCGAGUGCUUAGUACCCAUGAAGCACUCCAUAGCCCUUUGCUGACUAGGUUGCAAACGUGAGCACCACGUUUUCAUGAAUUGGG